UACGGAAGGUGCAAGCGUUAUCCGGAAUCACUGGGUUUAAAGGGUGCGUAGGCGGUUAGAUAAGUCAGAGGUGAAAGCUCAUCGCUCAACGAUGGAAUUGCCUUUGAUACUGUAUUACUUGAAUUUGGGAGAGGUAGGCGGAAUACAUCAUGUAGCGGUGAAAUGCUUAGAUAUGAUGUAGAACACCGAUUGCGAAGGCA
rnacentral:rRNA from 1 species